CUCUGUUUAACAAAAACAUGUCUGUAUGAAGUUAAAUAGAGUCUAUUCUGCCCAUUGAGAGCAUUCUUAAAAGGCCGCGGUAUACUAACUGUGCAAAGGUAGCAUAAUCAGUAGUUUCUUAAUUGGAGGCUUGUAUGAACGAUUGGAUAAGAAUUAAACUGUCUUUUUUUAAAAAAUUGAAUUUUAUUUUUAAGUGAAAAAGCUUAAAUAAAUCAGAGGGACGAUAAGACCCUAUAAAUCUUUAUGUAAUUAUUUUUAUUUGUCUAUAUAUUAAACGUUUAGUUGUUAAAUAAGAAUAAAUUCAUUAUACUGGGGCGGUAGAGAUAUAAAAAAACUAUUUUUUGAAAGAAACAAGUAUAGUUGAAAAGUAAAAGAUCCUAAUUAUGGAUUUAAAGAAUAAGUUACUUUAGGGAUAACAGCAUAAUUUCUUUUGAGAGUUCAAAUCGAAAAAGAAGUUUGUGACCUCGAUGUUGAAUUAAAAAUUCCUUAUAGUGCAGAAGUUAUAAUGGAAAGUCUGUUCGACUUUUAAAUUUUUACAUGAUCUGAGA
rnacentral:rRNA from 1 species